rnacentral:rRNA from 1 species
UACGGAGGGUGCAAGCGUUGUCCGGAAUCACUGGGCGUAAAGGGCGCGUAGGCGGCCUGGUAAGUAGGGGGUGAAAUCCUGCGGCUUAACCGCAGGGCUGCCUUCUAAACUGUCAGGCUUGAGCACGGUAGAGGCAGAUGGAAUUCCCGGUGUAGCGGUGGAAUGCGUAGAGAUCGGGAAGAACAUCAGUGGCGAAGGCGGUCUGCUGGGCCGGUUGCUGACGCUGAGGCGCGACAGCGUGGGGAGCGAACAGG